CAAAGUAAACACAUCUAACCCCUGAUCAGUAUCAAUAUAAUUUUUUAUAUAUUCGAGCAAAAAAGCUGAUGGAAUGGUUUCAACCCCAUUCUUUUCCUUUUUGUGCUUGUCUAUCUCUUCAACCUCUACUUGCAUGAUCUUGGCUAACUUUUUUCUGUAUCCGACAGUCUUAUGCUCUUUCCAAUAGAUAUUAUCUUGAUUGGUAGACUCUAUUCGGAGUAAAGAAGAAUAUUCUUCAAUCGUGGGGGCCAAGUCUUCUUGGUUGAAUACAAAGCAUCGAUAAGAUAGAUCCCAAAAUUGUAUUGUGGCUCUCAUCAGUU
rnacentral:lncRNA from 1 species